AGCUGCUUUUAAACAAAACAGAAGUAGACUUGAAAGAGGAAUACUUCAGUAAUAUAACCUCAGCUUUUCUAUCAUUUCCUUUUGCAGAGGCUCAUUCAAGGUCUGUAUUGUACAGCUUGUAUUUCUUGGCAACGAGAACAUGCUACUCGGUGUUCUGGUGGGGUAUCUGGGCUGAAACGUGUGUAUCAAUCGGUUACUGAACCACACUGUUUCAUCAGUACCACGACAGUACAUUUCACAUGGCCACAUCAAGAAUUGUUCACCAAAGGCACAGAUGAACCAGGGCAUAUUUGUCUGACUACAGCAGAUAGACAAAUAUGACAAGGACCGAAUUAGCACAAUGCUUCCUGAUGCCAAUGCUAUUUCACCUCAUCCUGACAUGGAGAGAGCACCUCUCAGACAGGCUUUACACCUGCUGUGUAGCUCUACGGAUUUAAGGAAGUUGCUCCUGAUUUACACAUGGAUAAAUGAGAUCAGAAUCAGGCCCAAUAAACGGAGCUAUUUUCAU